rnacentral:miRNA from 1 species
AUCACCUGGGGUCCGUGUGAAAAUGCAGAGACUGAUUCAGCAGGUCUGGGUUGGGGCCUGAGAUUCUGCAGUUCUAACAAGUUCCCAGGUGAUGC